UUGGCCUGUCGCCGAGUCGGCGUUGCGGGCGGCGGGGUUCUGCUCCGGAAAAACACUGCUGAAGAAUGCUGAUGUGGCAGUGAAACAGCCCAAAAGGAAGAGGAAGCUGAGUAUGGAUUCCAAAGAGCACUGAAUCUGGAAGGCUGCCUGGCCCUGCAGUGGCUGCACAGGACCCCUGGUCUUGGGAGCAGUUCUUGAAAGAGGAGGCGGCUGCAGCAGCACCCAUGGAGCUGUUUUCCAAGGUGUGUGGUUACUGUCUGAUGAUUGUUUAAGCUGCUAUGAUUUUUGGACCAAUGCCAGUUCCUCUGACAUCCAUCCAGUAAGGUGGAGUGAAAGGAGCAAACAUGAACUGCACAUCCCUGAAGCACGGGCCAGUGCCUGAAGACUUUCGGAUUGCAGUGAAGCUGGAACCCGUCGACAAGAAGAACCCCUCCUUGGUGUGUGUGGCAACCGUGGCAGAUCUUGUUUGGAGACCGCUUGCUAGUGGAUUUCCACAAUUGGGAUGAUAGUUUCCAUGACUGGAGCAAAGGAUGUGCAAGUCCCCCCAGGUCACGCUACUUGUCCCACUCCAGGGUGCCGAGGCAUAGGCCACACACAUGGUCCGUGGUAUUCCGGACAUUACAGAGUGAACAUUUCGAGCUCCUGAAGUUUCAAAGAAACUGUUCCAGAGAACAGCCACUUUGAGGAUAAAGUCAUGGGUUAAUUUCAUCUUUCCAUCUUUCCUGUCAAGUGUUGCUUUAGAAAGCGGCCCACCACUGGUCUAAACAGAAUGGAGCCUUUAUCAGAGAGAAGCUGGCAUAUAAUACUACUGAGAAGAGGUCAUGUUUUAUGCUAAAAAGAACCCUCAGCUCACCUCCACUAGUUUUCUUCCUCCAGAACAUCUCCGCCUUCAACUUUCCCCAAGUGCAUACAUCUACGCAAACUCAUAGCCCCUUGCUAGCUUCAGUAUACCAAAAACAGGAGGCAGGCUGGAAUGGAAGGCUGACCCCCAGGAAGGGGAGGAAAGGGAGACAGCCAACCCAGCCCUGCUCUGUGCCCUGGACCAGCCCAUGUGCCCUGAGACAGACUCUGUUUCUCCUACUUCUAGGAGCCUCUAGCUGUGAGAUCCAGUUCUACAGAACCACACGGAAGAGCAGUCUAUGGGCCAGGAUAAUCUACGCUAUUCCAAAUUGGACUUGGUUCCAGCUUCUUAGAUGGCAAAACUAACGCAUCCAGAGAGCUUAAAACACCGACUAAUCCAGACAGAUUUGCCAACAAGCACAUACAGCUGGAACAUUUCUACUGCAACCAUUUUUGUAUAAGCAAGUUUUUAAAGAUGGUAAUAAACAAAAUUAAAGGCAAAAGAAAACCUCUUCUGCCUUUUCAAAUACUAUGUACCCCCCUACCCCAUGUCCUACCUGGAGUCCCUCCCCCCACCCCACCAUAAUCACCACACUAGCCUCAUCUGAUGAAUUCACUCCAGCAUGAAAUCACGCUUCCUCACACCAUUGCAAGGAUGUUGGGAAAACUGUCCCUCAGUCUGCUGCAGCUGGAGGCCAGGGACCACACAGGAUGCUCCUGGGGUGCCAGGCUCGGCAAGGGCCAACGCGGAGGGCCGAGGCUUCCAGCUUUGGCAUGUGUUGUGAGUGAAGUCUGUGCACACCUCAAACUUGUCCUUGUCCUUGUCCUGAGAUUAUGAAGCUUGGUGGUUAAUCCUGUGACUCAAGAACUUGUCACCUGGGGAAAAUAAACAAGGUGAAUUGAGCGACAGGCGAAGCCCUUGGCGCUUUGCGGGCAGCACUGAGGAGCACAGGUGCACAGAGGGAGCAGCAGCCAGUGGCCGGCUGUGCUGAGGCUGACGCAUCCGCCCUGGGCUCAGGCCACAGAUUCUGCAGGAGGCACCCCAGUCAUCCUGCCCGACUCCCCACUCCACGCUGUCUGCUCUGCUCAUCUGCAGAGGAGUCCAGAAGGAUCCCUCAGUCCUGUGGAUCCCUACCUCUAGCAUCACUCUCACAAGCUUACGUUCUGCCUUUGACUCCCAGACUGAGGAAGUCUCCAACUCCCACUGGCUGGUUUUCUCUAGAUGCGGCAGAACCAGCUUCUCCUGCUCCUGCCACUCUCAUGCAGACCCUCCAGCCUGCCUUCCGCACCCCCUCCCUCAGGCUGGCCCCAAGAGGGGGCAGGAUGACUUUCCAGACCUUUGACUUUUCUUUCCCUAUUCAAGAACCUGCUGCAGAGUUCCCGUGGUGGCGCAGUGGUUAACGAAUCCGACUAGGAACCAUGAUGUUGCGGGUUCAGUCCCUACCCUUGCUCAGUGGGUUAAGGAUCCGGCGUUGCCGUGAGCUGUGGUGUAGGUUGCAGACGUGGCUCGGAUCCAGCGUUGCUGUGGCUCUGGCAUAGGCUGGCGGCUACAGCUCCAAUUCGACCCCUAGCCUGGGAACCUCCAUAUGCCGUGUGAGCGGGCCCAGGAAAUAGCAAAAAGACAAAAAAAAAAAAAAAAAAAAAAAAAGAAAAGAAAAAGAAAAAGAAAAAAAAAGAACCUACUGCAUCUCUGAGCAGCUGGAACUCCCCCAGGGCCCCCGUUGUGAGGAAGUGUCUCCACAGCCCUGCUGCCCAGCUCCGUUGGUCUCCUCUCAUGAUCCUGUGAUCCAGUCCUAUUUCAGGAACCUGGGCCCUGUGCCCUCCUAGGACCUAAAUGAAGAAACAACAGCAAGAGCAAAAACAAUUUGAUGAAAAUGGUCCCUUCCGAGAUUUUAUGUAUUUAAUGAAAUAAUGCAUAUAAUGUGAAAUGCACUUAUAGUGCCUGGAUACACAUUAAAUGUUUAAUACAUAUAUAUUUCUACUGUUAUGGUUAUAUCAUUAUUAAACAGGUACUAUGCAUAAUAACAAUAAAUCGCAAUGUAAUUUACAC
rnacentral:lncRNA from 1 species